GCCUUAUAUAGAAAGCACCUCUAUACAAUCUAAUCCGAAUAUUGAGAAUAACAACUCUGUGCCAUCUACGCAUAUAAUAGGACCAUACUUUUUGCAGCCAACAGGCCAAGUGUGCUAUUUUCUGCUUUUACAAGCAAUCAACCGUUUGAUUUGAUACUUCUUUUAUUACAUCUGGCUCCUCCUUGAAUCCGAGGAAAAAAAAGAUCUGGUUUGAUGUUAGCAUUUAGGGUAGGCUGUCAAGUGAUAUGAGCUUUACACUUUUGCUGUUAGGCUGGAAGGUAUACGUUUUAGUUGUAUAAAAUGCGAUCCCAGGCUAUAUUCCUUCACCU
rnacentral:misc_RNA from 1 species